rnacentral:rRNA from 1 species
GAUGAACGCUGGCGGCGUGCCUAAUACAUGCAAGUCGAGCGAACGGACGAGAAGCUUGCUUCUCUGAUGUUAGCGGCGGACGGGUGAGUAACACGUGGAUAACCUACCUAUAAGACUGGGAUAACUUCGGGAAACCGGAGCUAAUACCGGAUAAUAUUUUGAACCGCAUGGUUCAAAAGUGAAAGACGGUCUUGCUGUCACUUAUAGAUGGAUCCGCGCUGCAUUAGCUAGUUGGUAAGGUAACGGCUUACCAAGGCAACGAUGCAUAGCCGACCUGAGAGGGUGAUCGGCCACACUGGAACUGAGACACGGUCCAGACUCCUACGGGAGGCAGCAGUAGGGAAUCUUCCGCAAUGGGCGAAAGCCUGACGGAGCAACGCCGCGUGAGUGAUGAAGGUCUUCGGAUCGUAAAACUCUGUUAUUAGGGAAGAACAUAUGUGUAAGUAACUGUGCACAUCUUGACGGUACCUAAUCAGAAAGCCACGGCUAACUACGUGCCAGCAGCCGCGGUAAUACGUAGGUGGCAAGCGUUAUCCGGAAUUAUUGGGCGUAAAGCGCGCGUAGGCGGUUUUUUAAGUCUGAUGUGAAAGCCCACGGCUCAACCGUGGAGGGUCAUUGGAAACUGGAAAACUUGAGUGCAGAAGAGGAAAGUGGAAUUCCAUGUGUAGCGGUGAAAUGCGCAGAGAUAUGGAGGAACACCAGUGGCGAAGGCGACUUUCUGGUCUGUAACUGACGCUGAUGUGCGAAAGCGUGGGGAUCAAACAGGAUUAGAUACCCUGGUAGUCCACGCCGUAAACGAUGAGUGCUAAGUGUUAGGGGGUUUCCGCCCCUUAGUGCUGCAGCUAACGCAUUAAGCACUCCGCCUGGGGAGUACAACCGCAAGGUUGGAACUCAAAGGAAUUGACGGGGACCCGCACAAGCGGUGGAGCAUGUGGUUUAAUUCGGAGCAACGCGAAGAACCUUACCAAAUCUUGACAUCCUUUGACAACCCUAGAGAUAGAGCUUUCCCCUUCGGGGGACAAAGUGACAGGUGGUGCAUGGUUGUCGUCAGCUCGUGUCGUGAGAUGUUGGGUUAAGUCCCGCAACGAGCGCAACCCUUAAGCUUAGUUGCCAUCAUUAAGUUGGGCACUCUAAGUUGACUGCCGGUGACAAACCGGAGGAAGGUGGGGAUGACGUCAAAUCAUCAUGCCCCUUAUGAUUUGGGCUACACACGUGCUACAAUGGACAAUACAAAGGGCAGCGAAACCGCGAGGUCAAGCAAAUCCCAUAAAGUUGUUCUCAGUUCGGAUUGUAGUCUGCAACUCGACUACAUGAAGCUGGAAUCGCUAGUAAUCGUAGAUCAGCAUGCUACGGUGAAUACGUUCCCGGGUCU